AUGAUCGUAGCCACCUAUCUCAUCAACAAUCAUCCCUCCUCUGCUCUACAUGGUGACAUUCCUCUCGAGCGUCUUUGUGGGCAUUCCCCUAACAACUCCAUCCGUCCAGAAUUGCUUGUCACACAAAUGGAUAAAAAUGGAUGUAUAGAACUGAAAUAUGUUAGAUACAUUCAUUUCUCCGACAAGUAUUUUCAGACGGAUGGAUUACUAAACACUUUGUUUGGUUGUGUUGGCUACAUUCUUCAAGCACCAAACUGUCCGAUCAACAUGUUGAAUGUCUUCUUAGGUUAUAGUGAUGAGCAAGGGCCAUCGGUGUUGGGGUCUUGUCAGUCGUCGGAUGCGUAG
rnacentral:rRNA from 1 species